rnacentral:lncRNA from 1 species
AUAGAAACAGAGUAGAUUGGUGGUUUCCAGAGGCUGGGGGAAAAGUGGGGACCAACUGCUAAUGGGUACAGGACUUAUUUUUGGGGGGACAAAAAUAUUCUACAACUAGAUUGUGGAGAUGGUUCUACACCCCUGUGAAUAUACUAGAAGACAUUGAAUGGUACAUUUUAAAUGGGUAGAUUGUAUGGUAUGUGAAUUAUAUCCCAAUAAAGCAGUUAAGAAAAUAGUUAUUAAAACAUAUAAUAGGUAUAUCCCAAGGGGGAGAAAGGUGUGGUGCAUGAGCUCAGCCCAGACAGGCUGUGUUGAGUGGGGAGAGCAAUGGAUGAAGGAGCUGGUUGGAGCUGUAAAGUGCAUAGGCCAAGAGUAGAGGUGGGGGCUGGGUCUUGAAGGAGAAACUGAGUGCACUGAAGAAUUCUGCCUGCUUCACAGCAUUAUCAAGGGCCAGCCUUUGGAUGAUCUCUGGAAGAAGGUCCCAGAGCCUCAAGGAGGAGAUUCUAUGAUGUCAGCACCUGACCUUUGUGACAUACCCACAUGCUGCCAGGGAGAACUGAACUCAGGGAAUGGGGACCCCAGCUCCCAUUGGGGGCGGCAACCCUGGUGCCACCUCUUAGACAAAGUCCCAGUCUCCCAGAGGCUUUUACCAGCUGGCCCCAUUCCUUCUGCUGCUGGGUGUAAUGAGCCAUCUCUGUCUGGGCCAGGGUCCGCUCAAUGCUGAAGUGCCUGUGAAACACAGCCCAGAGGAAUUCUCAUUGGUCCUAUGGGCUUUGUCUUCCUCUCUGCCCCGCCCAGAUAAUCGCUGUUGCCCCUCCGCUGUCAAGAGGCAGCUGUGAUUCUCCAUCCCCACACAUCCCUCAUCAAUGGCUGACUGCAAAGAAGUGAGAAGCCAAGCUUAGGUUCAUGCUCAUGCCUGAACACCCAGAGAGCCUGGAGGUCUGGGUGUCCCCUUGGCCUGCCACUAGCACCUGCAACCACACCAGGCUGGAGCCAAGCUCUGUGCACAGAAGGUGGCCUUGAUUUCUCAGGCACAGCUGACCUCAGAGAUACUGGUCCUGACUCUGCCAGUUCUCUCAUACCUAGUCUUGUUGCCCCAGUUCCCUUCUGAUCAUUCCCUCCAGGACCAAGGUUCCAUUCCUUUUCCACUCCAGUCCAUCCAUCCUUCCUCCACCAUUUCUCCUUGUCUUCCAUUCUGACUUCCACAUCCAUUCCUCCCUCCUUCCUUCCUCCCAUUCCAUUCCACUCCCUACUUCCACCCCUCCUCCUCCUCUGACCCCUUCCUUCUCUCCCUCCCAGCCCCAGAACUCCUCCCUUCCCCACUCACCUUGCCAGUCUCCUUCCCACCCCGAGGACCUGCAUAGCUCCACGCUCACUUCCCCAGGCCCAAGUCCACCUUCUCAAAGG